rfam:Erinaceus europaeus unplaced genomic scaffold scaffold00500, whole genome shotgun sequence
AGAAUGGAUCUCCUAAGAUCCACUGAUUAAACCUAAAAGAUUGUC